AGGAAGUGGGGAUGACGUCAAAUCAUCAUGGCCUUAUGACCAGGGCUACACACGUACUACAAUGGCCGGUACAAAGGGCAGCGACACAGCGAUGUGAAGCCAAUCCCGAAAAGCCGGUCUCAGUCCGGAUUGGAGUCUGCAACUCGACUCCAUGAAGUUGGAAUCGCUAGUAAUCGCGGAUCAGCACGCCGCGGUCGAAUACGUUCCGGCCUU
rnacentral:rRNA from 1 species